GAGUUUGAUCAUGGCUCAGGAUGAACGCUGUCGGCGUGCUUAACACAUGCAAGUCGAACGAACCUUCGGGUUAGUGGCGGACGGGUGAGUAACGCGUGAGAAUCUGCCCUCAGGAGGGGGAUAACGGUUGGAAACGACCGCUAAUACCCCAUAUGCCUACUGGUGAAAUGAAUUUCGCCUGAGGAUGAGCUCGCGUCUGAUUAGCUAGUUGGUGAGGUAAUGGCUCACCAAGGCUUCGAUCAGUAGCUGGUCUGAGAGGAUGAUCAGCCACACUGGGACUGAGACACGGCCCAGACUCCUACGGGAGGCAGCAGUGGGGAAUUUUCCGCAAUGGGCGAAAGCCUGACGGAGCAACGCCGCGUGAGGGACGAAGGCCUCUGGGCUGUAAACCUCUUUUCUCAAGGAAGAAGAUAUGACGGUACUUGAGGAAUAAGCCACGGCUAAUUCCGUGCCAGCAGCCGCGGUAAUACGGGAGUGGCAAGCGUUAUCCGGAAUUAUUGGGCGUAAAGCGUCCGCAGGCGGCUUUUCAAGUCUGCUGUUAAAACGUGGAGCUUAACUCCAUCAUGGCAGUGGAAACUGAAAGGCUUGAGUAUGGUAGGGGCAGAGGGAAUUCCCGGUGUAGCGGUGAAAUGCGUAGAUAUCGGGAAGAACACCAGUGGCGAAGGCGCUCUGCUGGGCCAUUACUGACGCUCAUGGACGAAAGCCAGGGGAGCGAAAGGGAUUAGAUACCCCUGUAGUCCUGGCCGUAAACGAUGAACACUAGGUGUCGGGGGAAUCGACCCCUUCGGUGUCGUAGCUAACGCGUUAAGUGUUCCGCCUGGGGAGUACGCACGCAAGUGUGAAACUCAAAGGAAUUGACGGGGGCCCGCACAAGCGGUGGAGUAUGUGGUUUAAUUCGAUGCAACGCGAAGAACCUUACCAGGGUUUGACAUCCUGCAAACCUCUUAGAAAUUUGAGGGUGCCUUCGGGAAUGCAGUGACAGGUGGUGCAUGGCUGUCGUCAGCUCGUGUCGUGAGAUGUUGGGUUAAGUCCCGCAACGAGCGCAACCCACGUUUUUAGUUGCCAGCAUUUAGUUGGGCACUCUAGAAAGACCGCCGGUGAUAAACCGGAGGAAGGUGUGGAUGACGUCAAGUCAUCAUGCCCCUUACACCCUGGGCUACACACGUACUACAAUGCUACGGACAAAGGGCAGCAAACUCGCGAGAGCUAGCAAAUCCCAUAAACCGUGGCUCAGUUCAGAUCGUAGGCUGCAACUCGCCUACGUGAAGUAGGAAUCGCUAGUAAUCGCAGGUCAGCAUACUGCGGUGAAUACGUUCCCGGGCCUUGUACACACCGCCCGUCACACCAUGGAAGUUGGCCAUGCCCGAAGUCGUUACUCCAACCCUUGUGGAGGAGGACGCCGAAGGUGGGGCUAAUGACUGGGGUGAAGUCGUAACAAGGUAACCA
rnacentral:rRNA from 1 species